rnacentral:tmRNA from 1 species
GGGGCUGACUUGGAUUUCGACAGAUUUCUUGUCGCACAGAUAGCAUGCCAAGCGCUGCUUGUAAAACAGCAACAAAAAUAACUGUAAACAACGCAGAUUACGCUCCAGCUUACGCUAAAGCUGCGUGAGUUAAUCUCCUUUUGGAGCUGGACUGAUUAGAAUUUCUAGCGUUUUAAUCACUCCAUAACCUUAAGCUAGACGCUUUUAAAAGGUGGUUCGCCUUUUAAACUAAGAAACAAGAACUCUUGAAACUACCUCAAGGUUUUAGAAAGUUGGACCAGAGCUAGUUUUAAGGCUAAAAAACUAACCAAUUUUCUAAGCAUUGUAGAAGUUUGUGUUUAGGGCAAGAUUUUUGGACUGGGGUUCGAUUCCCCACAGCUCCACCA